GAUGAACGCUCGCGACAGGCUUAACACAUGUAAGUCGAGGGGCAGCACAGGUAGCAAUAGAGGGUGGAGAAAGGAGGAAGGGUGAGUAAGGAGUAUGAAAAUUAAGUAUCAGAGGGGGAUAACCAGGGGAAAGUAGGACUAAUACCGCAUGAAGCAGGGGUCCCGCAUGGGGAUAUUUGCUAAAGAUUCAUCGCUGAUAGAUAGGCAUGCGUUCCAUUAGGCAGUUGGCGGGGUAACGGCCCACCAAACCGACGAUGGAUAGGGGUUCUGAGAGGAAGGUCCCCCACAUUGGUACUGAGACACGGACCAAACUCCUACGGGAGGCAGCAGUGAGGAAUAUUGGUCAAUGGCCGAGAGGCUGAACCAGCCAAGUCGCGUGAGGGAGGAAGGUUCUAUGGAUCGUAAACCUCUUUUAUAAGGGAAUAAAGUGCGGGACGUGUCCCGUUUUGUAUGUACCUUAUGAAUAAGGAUCGGCUACCUCCGUG
rnacentral:rRNA from 1 species